UACGAAGGGGGCUAGCGUUGUUCGGAUUUACUGGGCGUAAAGCGCACGUAGGCGGAUUGUUAAGUCGGGGGUGAAAUCCUGGAGCUCAACUUCAGAAUUGCCUUCGAUACUGGCUUUCUAGAGGCUGGAAGAGGUUAGUGGAAUUCCCAGUGUAGAGGUGAAAUUCGUAGAUAUUCGCAAGAACACCAGUGGCGAAGGCGGCUCACUGGCCCGAUACUGACGCUGAGGUGCGAAAGCGUGGGGAGCAAACAGGG
rnacentral:rRNA from 1 species